CCCGGGCCUUGUACACACCGCCCGUCACACCAUGGGAGUUGGUUUUACCCGAAGACGGCGCGCUAACCGCAAGGAGGCAGCCGGCCACGGUAGGUCAGCGACUGGGUG
rnacentral:rRNA from 1 species